UACGGGGGGAGCAAGCGUUGUUCGGAUUUACUGGGCGUAAAGGGCGCGUAGGCGGCCAGCACAAGUCAGUUGUGAAAUCUCCGAGCUUAACUCGGAAAGGUCAACUGAUACUGUGCGGCUAGAGUGCAGAAGGGGCAACUGGAAUUCUUGGUGUAGCGGUGAAAUGCGUAGAUAUGUGGAGGAACACCGAUGGCGAAGGCAGCCCCCUGGGAUGUGACUGACGCUCAUGUACGAAAGCGUGGGGAGCAAACAGG
rnacentral:rRNA from 1 species